AGCUCCAACAGCGUGUGUUGAAGUUGUUGCAGCUAAAAAGCUCGUAGUUGGAUUUGUGGCGCACGGCGGGCUCCCAUCACUGUUUGGUGUCGGUGUUGCCUGGCGUUGCCAUCCUUGGGUGGAAUCUGUGUGGCAUCAGGUUGUCGUGCAGGGGAUGCCCAUCGUUUGCUGUGAAAAAAUUAGAGUGUUCAAAGCAGGCUUGCGCCGUUGAAUGCAUCAGCAUGGAACAAUGAGACAGGACCUUGGUGCUGUUUUGUUGGUUUGCGCACCGAGGCAAUGAUCAACAGGGACAGUUGGGGGUGUUCGCAUUUCAUUGUCAGAGGUGAAAUUCUUGGAUUUUUGAAAGACGAACUGCUGCGAAAGCAUUUGCCAAGGAUGUUUUCAUCAAUCAAGAACGAAA
rnacentral:rRNA from 1 species